rnacentral:rRNA from 1 species
AUUGAACGCUGGCGGCAUGCCUUACACACGCAAGUCGAACGGCAGCACGGGAGCAAUCCUGGUGGCGAGUGGCGAACGGGUGAGUAAUAUAUCGGAACGUGCCCCGUCGUGGGGGAUAACGUAGCGAAAGCUACGCUAAUACCGCAUACGAUCUGUGGAUGAAAGCGGGGGAUCGCAAGACCUCGCGCGAUUGGAGCGGCCGAUAUCAGAUUAGGUAGUUGGUGAGGUAAAGGCUCACCAAGCCGACGAUCUGUAGCUGAUCUGAGAGGGCGACCAGACACACUGGGACUGAGACACGGCCCAGACUCCUACGGGAGGCAGCAGUGGGGAAUUUUGGACAAUGGGCGCAAGCCUGAUCCAGCAGUGCCGCGUGCAGCAUGAAGGCCUUCGGGUUGUAACCUGCUUUUGUACGGAGCGAAAAGGCUUCCACUAAUACUGGGGGCUCAUGACGGUACCGUAAGAAUAAGCACCGGCUAACUACGUGCCAGCCGCCGCGGUAAAAC